rnacentral:tRNA from 1 species
GUGGAUUGUGGCUCAGUGGUAGAGUGCUUGCCUAGCAUGUGCAAGGCCCUGGGUUCAAUCCUUGGCACCACA